rnacentral:rRNA from 1 species
AAUAGAUACCCAGGUAGUCCACGCCCUAAACGAUGCGAACUGGAUGUUGGGUACAUUACGGUACUCAGUGUCGAAGCUAACGCGUUAAGUUCGCCGCCUGGGGAGUACGGUCGCAAGACUGAAACUCAAAGGAAUUGACGGGGGCCCGCACAAGCGGUGGAGUAUGUGGUUUAAUUCGAUGCAACGCGAAGAACCUUACCUGGCCUUGACAUCUGUCGAAUCCUGCAGAGAUGCGGGAGUGCCGCAAGGAACGACAAGACAGGUGCUGCAUGGCUGUCGUCAGCUCGUGUCGUGAGAUGUUGGGUUAAGUCCCGCAACGAGCGCAACCCUUGUCCUUAGUUGCCAGCACGUAAUGGUGGGAACUCUAAGGAGACUGCCGGUGACAAACCGGAGGAAGGUGGGGAUGACGUCAAGUCCUCAUGGCCCUUACGGCCAGGGCUACACACGUACUACAAUGGUCGGUACAGAGGGUUGCGAAGCCGCGAGGUGGAGCCAAUCCCGAGAAAACCGNUCCCGAGUCCGGAUUGGAGUCUGCAAC